ensembl:ncRNA Su(Ste):CR42406 Su(Ste):CR42406
UGUCAAAAACUCAAAGAAAAAGACGAUGACUUUGAAGUCUAUAAGUCAUAUUUCUGUGAACGAGUGAACUGGCAACAUGUCGAGCCCGUAAGUAACUAGGUUUUUCCUAUAGAAAUUAUAGAAAGUCACAGUAAAAUCUUGAACCCAGAACAACAACAACAACAACAACAGCAGCUGGAUCAAUUGGUUCCUCGGAAUCAAGGGCAACGAGUUCCUCUGCCACGUGCCCACCAACUACUUUCAGGACACGUUCAACCAGAUGGGCCUGUAGUACUUCAGCCAGCACUGGACGUGAUCCUGAAGCCGGCGUUCGACAGUUCCUCGGGCUUGUUCUACGACGAUGAGAAAAAGUGGUACGGCAUGAUUCACCCCCGAUACAUCAGGUCGGAGCGUGGCGUGAAUGAUAUGCACCGAAACUAUAUGAGAGGAGACUUUGAAUCGUGUCCGAAUAUCUCCUGUAAUAGGAAGAACACCCUGCCAGUGGGCCUCAGCGAUGUGUGGGGCAAGUCAACGGUGAAGAUCUACUGCCCACGCUGUAAAAACUACUUCCAUCCUAAAACUGAUACACAGCCAUGUUAGGGCCCAGCUGUCCGGACAUCUUCUUAACGCAGCUGCCGAACUUGAGACCGCCCCUGGACGACCCACGGUAAGAAA